AGCGAACGCUAGCGGCGGGCCUAACACAUGCAAGUCGAGCGCAUACCUUCGGGUAUGAGCGGCGGACGGGUGAGUAACACGUAGGUAAUCUACCCUUUGGUGGGGAAUAACCCGGGGAAACUCGGGCUAAUGCCGCACGAGGUCUACGGAUCAAAGCCUUCGGGCGCCAGAGGAUGAGCCUGCGUUGCAUUACCUAGUUGGCGGGGUAACGGCCCACCAAGGGGACGAUGCAUAGCUGGUCUGAGAGGAUGAUCAGCCACACUGGGACUGAGACACGGCCCAGACUCCUACGGGAGGCAGCAGUGGGGAAUAUUGCGCAAUGGGGGAAACCCUGACGCAGCUACGCCGCGUGGGUGAUGAAGGCCUUCGGGUUGUAAAGCCCUGUCGGGAGGGACGGAAUAACUGACGGUACCUCCCAACGAAAGCACCGGCUAACUCCGUGCCAGCAGCCGCGGUAAU
rnacentral:rRNA from 1 species